AUUUAUCUAAUACAAGGAAAGUAUAUUUGACCUCCAAUCAAGAAAUUUGUGAAAAACAAGAUAAAUA
rnacentral:tRNA from 1 species